CGCCGACGUGCGGGUGCUGGCUGCGCGUCCUCAGCGAGCAGCUAGGGCGUACUCAGUCCGAGUCGGCCAAAGCCGACAACAUCGGUAUCCAGGGAUAUCGAUGAAGGGCAGAAAGGACAAGGAAAGGCAAUACCCCAUCGAGUAAUGGGACCCCAACAGCACUCCCAUGACUUUGAUUGAGGAUUUGAAUGCAUGCAUGGAUCAGAAGGAUGACCAACAUUUUAUUAUAUUCAAAGAACAACUUCACUAUUUACAGGAUGGUAGAGACCUUCUGUGAAAAUUGGAGAACAAAUUUGCCUCUCAUCGUAUUCCCUCGGUUAUCAGCUAUGACUUUGCAAAAAGCAUGUAGAUUUACAUACCCCUAUCCUCUUUUUUCUUGCUGUGUUGGGCUGUUGGUAGUCCAGAUGUGAGAAGUUACAGUCUAUUUUCUUGAAUAUAGCACCCUGCUAUGGAUACUUUUGCGCCUGAUAAGUUAAUCUCCCAUUACAUAUUUGAUGCUUCAGUUCAGUGCUAACAAUUAAAAUAGCUGAUCUCUCACACCUCCUCCUUCAUAAGUGUGCAAUGCUUCUCAUGGUAAUCACAUGUUAUUUUUAAGGUCCAAGCCAUGUUCAAAUUUUUUUUAUCAAAUGUUAUUAUUCAUUAGUAAUUC